AUUGAACGCUGGCGGCAGGCCUAACACAUGCAAGUCGAGCGGAUGAAGGGAGCUUGCUCCUGGAUUCAGCUGCGGACGGGUGAGUAAUGCCUAGGAAUCUGCCUGUUAGUGUUGGAUAACGUCCGAAAACGGGCGCAAAUACCGCAUACGUCCUGAGGGCGUAAGUGUGAGAGCUGGGGACCUCACGCUAUCAGAUGAGCCUAGGUCGGAUUAGCUAGUUGGUGGGGUAAAGGCCUACCAAGGCGACGAUCCGUAACUGGUCUGAGAGGAUGAUCAGUCACACUGGAACUGAGACACGGUCCAGACUCCUACGGGAGGCAGCAGUGGGGAAUAUUGGACAAUGGGCGAAAGCCUGAUCCAGCCAUGCCGCGUGUGUGAAGAAGGUCUUCGGAUUGUAAAGCCCUUUAAGUUGGGAGGAAGGGCAGUAAGUUAAUACCUCGCUGUUUUGACGUUACCCACAGAAUAAGCACCGGCUAACUUCGUG
rnacentral:rRNA from 1 species